CAUGCAUGUAUCAGCACAAGCCUCAAAAUGGUGAAGCCGCGAAUAGCUCAUUACAACAGUCGUAGUUUAUUAGAAAGUAUCAAAUGGAUAACUGUGGUAAUUCUAGAGCUAAUACAUGUUCCAAUCCCCGACUUACGAAGGGGUGCGUUUAUUAGAACAAAGCUGAUCAGACUUUCGUCUGUCUCAGGUUGACUCUGAAUAACUUUGCUAAUCGCACAGUCUUUGCACUGGCGAUGUAUCUUUCAAAUGUCUGCCUUAUCAACUGUUGAUGGUAGAUUAUGCGCCUACCAUGGUUGUAACGGGUAACGGAGAAUCAGGGUUUGAUUCCGGAGAGGGAGCCUGAGAAACAGCUACCACAUCCAAGGAAGGCAGCAGGCACGCAAAUUACCCACUCCCAGUUCGGGGAGGUAGUGACGAAAAAUAACGAGACGAUGCUCUACGAGUGUCGUCAUCGGAAUGAGUACAAUCUAAAUACUUUAACGAGUAUCUAUUGGAGGGCAAGUCUGGUGCCAGCAGCCGCGGUAAUUCCAGCUCCAAUAGCGUAUAUUAAAGUUGUUGCGGUUAAAAAGCUCGUAGUUGGAUCUGAGAUUGUGGACAGCGGUCCUGUAAAUCAGUUGUACUGCUUGUCCCGAUCUAAUCUGUUGGUUGGUGUGCAGUGCUCUUUAUUGAGUGUUGUAUGCUGCCAACUAUUUUACUUUGAAGAAAUUAGAGUGCUCAAAGCAAGCGAUUGCUUGAAUAUUGGUGCAUGGAAUAAUGGAAUAGGGCCUUGGCUCUAUUUUGUUGGUUUUAGGAGCACGAGGCAAUGAUUAAGAGAAACAGACGGGGGCAUUUGUAUUGCGGCGUUAGAGGUGAAAUUCUUGGAUCGUCGCAAGACAAACAACUGCGAAAGCAUUUGCCAAGAAUGUUUUCAUUAAUCAAGAACGAAAGUUAGAGGUUCGAAAGGCGAUCAGAUACCGCUCUAGUCUGAAACCGUAAAAA
rnacentral:rRNA from 1 species